rnacentral:rRNA from 1 species
UACGGGGGGGGGCAAGCGUUGUUCGGAAUUACUGGGCGUAAAGGGCGCGUAGGCGGCUCGCUAAGUCGGAUGUGAAAACUCUGGGCUCAACCCAGAGCCUGCAUUCGAAACUGACGAGCUCGAGUUCUGGAGGGGAAAGCGGAAUUCCUGGUGUAGCGGUGAAAUGCGUAGAUAUCAGGAGGAACACCGGUGGCGAAGGCGGCUUCUGGACAGAAACUGACGCUGAUGCGCGAAAGCUAGGGGAGCAAACAGG